UCACAUACCAUACAAUGCACUGAUUUAAAAUGUACAAUUUAGUGAUUUUUAGUACAGGCACAGGGUUGGGAAGCCCUCACCACAGUUGAUUUUAGAACAUCAUCAUCCCCAAAGAAACCCCAUACUAUUAGAAGUCAGUCUCCAAUUCUCCCUUCCCUGAGGCCCUGGCAACCUCUAGCAUGAGUUCUAUGUCUGUAGAUUUGCUUAUUAUGGGCAUUUCAUAUAAAUGGGAUCAUUCAGUAUGUGGCCUCUUGGCAUCUUUCCUUUGCAUAAUGUUUUCAAGAGCCUUCUGUGCGGUACAUUUCAGCACUGCAUCCCUUUUUGUUCCGUUCAUGGAUCGAUCACAUUCGGUGUUCCUGCGCUGAUGGACCUCGGUUUAUCUUCGCUUAUUGACAUCAUGAGUGAUACCGCUGCUGAUCUUUGUGAACAAGUUUCUGUGUGGACAUGUGUUUUAAUUUCCCUUGGGCACACAAUCAGGAGUGGAAUCUCUGGGUCAUACAGUAACUCCAUGUUUAACAUUUUGGGAAACUGUCCAACUGUCUUCCAAAGCAGCUGUACCUUUUUACACUCCCUCCAGCAACAUCCUCCCCAACACUUGUUAGCGUCUGACUUUUUGAUCCCAGUCACCCUAGUGGGUGUGAAGUGGUGUCUCUUUGUGGUUUUGAUUUGCUUGUCCCAAAAGGUUAAUGAUGCUGUACAUCUUCUCACUUGCUUAUUGGUCACUUGUGUGUCUUUUUGAGGAAAUGUCUAUUCAAAUCCUUUAUACCCAUUUUUAGUCUGGUUGUUCUUUGGUUGGUAGGCUGAGGCCUUUGGCUGUUAUUCUGAGAGAGAUGGGGAGCUGCUGGAAGGUUCUAAGCACAGAAGUGGCAGUAUCAUUUGGGCUGCUGUGUCGAGAAAAAGAACACAGGUUCACAGGUGACACAGAGCCUAGUCAAGAUACCGAGAUGAUCCAGGUGUGAGACAAUAGUGACUGGCCCGGCGGUAGCAGAGGAAGUGGUGACACGGGGCUGGUUCUGGACACAUUUUGAAGGGGUGCCAACAAGAUUUGCCGAUGGGUCGGAUGGGCUUAGCCAGGAAACUUGAAGUCACCAUGUACUAGGUAGGUGGAUUGGUAUCCUAUGGUUGCCAUAACAAGUGGCCACAAACUGGGUGACUUAAAGUAACAGAAGUGUAUUGUCUCAUAGCUUAGAGGCCAGACUCCCUCUGAAACCAGUAGGGCAGGAUCGUCCCGUCUCUGCCUACCUCUGUCAGCUGUCAGGCUCGGCUUCCCUGGGCUAACAGCCACACCUGCCAAUCUGCUUUGGUCCGCAUGGCUUUCUUGUGGCCUGUGUAUCCGUGUCCAAAUUUCCUUGGACACUGUCGUUGGAUAAGGACCCACCCCAAUGACCUCAUCUCACCUUGACCAUCUGUGAAGAGCCUACUUCCCCGUGAGAUCCAACUGACAGCUCCUGGGGUCCUAGGUUAGGAAAUUGAACCAAACUCAUCUCCCUCUGAUUUGCCUGCAGCACCUGUGCCGCUGGGUAAGUCCCCAUCUUCUCAAGGACCACGGUGUCGCACAGCUCUUGCUUACGUUACUACUUGUAGGACUCUGAUCUGGCACACCAUAGGACAGGAGCACGAGUUCGGUGGAUCUGUGGGCUCUGUGGACACUGAUUCAACACAGAUGCUGCAACCCAUCUUCCUAAGAGUGGCUGGGUCACCCUGAAUGGAGUCUCACGUGUGACAUCCACAUAAGGUUGUGCAAUUUCUCUAAGUAUAUCCUGGUAGAGAAGAGGACUGACUUCUAUUGAAACUAUGAAAAUAAUUAAAUUUCUAUUAAUAGAGUCGGGAAAAAUGAUCUUUUCCUGAAUUCUGAAGUGAGAAUCAUUUAAAGAAUGUUGUAUUUGUUGAUGGAGGCACCAGCGACUGUAGCAAAGGUUAAAGCUAGAUCAAACACAAAGAAAGGAUUUCAUCGGACUUUUGCUAGAAAAUAGAACAAGAAAAGAACACGGCUGCCCUCUCCUUGCCUUCGUCAGGCUCUGUACAUCCUAAUGGAGACGGGGUAGGGGUGGUGGUUGAGGGUCUUGGGCCCACUUUCUGGCUGGCACAGCCCAACACACAGGGGAGACUGGGAGAGCUAGCAGGUGAACGCACAGAGGCUUUUUGUUGUUGGAAACGAGUUCUACGGAGAGAGAGGACAGAAUGAAAUCGGUUGGGUUGGAAUCGGAGCUGUCAGUACGAACUCCAGCCUCGUGGACGGAUAUGAAGCUGCAGAUACAGGUGUGUGCACCUACAUUUCUGAACUCACUCUGGUGAGCAUAAAUGCGAUCGCACUUUAUAUCACCGUCUUGAGUUGCUGCCAUUCAGCAUCAUGUCUGGGACCCGGCCACAGGGCUCCAAGCGGGACAGUUUCUUCGUGUAAGCCGUUGUGUUCUCUCCCGCUGUGUGGAUGUGCCUCACUUUAUUCAGUUUAUCGUCCAAAGACACUGAAGGUAUUUCUUCCUCUGAGUAUUUUUGUUAUUAAAAGCAAUGCUGUCUU